rnacentral:sRNA from 1 species
GAGGUCAAUCACUACAAGGGGAAGAACUACCCCAUCAUGAAUCUGCAUGAGCGGACCCUGAGCGUGCUGGCCUGCCGGGUGAGUGGGGGCCAGGAGCCAGCCCAAGGAUGGGACAUUCCCACAACAUCCCCCGACCAAGGGCCUCCCUGAGCCAGGGCAGGGGGGCUUGGGUCACUGGCAGAGCCACACCCAGCACCCCGAGUUCUGUGGCACCUGCCCAUACCUGUUUGUUGAGGCAGGAGGAGGGGUGGUCAGGUCUCCAGGUGCUGUUCCUUCUUGCCUCAUGGAGGAGCCCCAGGGGUCCCCAGCCUGCCCAGCCCAUCCCUGCUACUCACUGGCAGCCCCGCCCCAUGUCUGGGCCGUCUCUCACCACCCUGUGGCCCUGGCUUACCAGUAGCAGGGACCGAGCAAGUCUUUCUGCCCCCACUGUCCCCACAGUACGUGUCAGAAGUGGUGAUUGGGGCCCCGUACGCGGUCACAGCAGAGCUCCUGAGUCACUUCAAGGUGGACCUGGUGUGUCACGGCAAGACAGAAAUCAUCCCUGACAGGGAUGGCUCCGACCCAUACCAGGAGCCCAAGAGAAGGGGCAUCUUCCAUCAGAUUGACAGUGGCAGCAACCUCACCACAGACCUCAUCGUCCAGCGGAUCAUCACCAACAGGUUGGAGUAUGAGGCGCGAAACCAGAAGAAGGAAGCCAAGGAGCUGGCCUUCCUGGAGGCCGCCAGGCG